ensembl:lncRNA
AUCGAUACUGAAACGUAAGCCGUUAAUGAUGUAAAAAUCAUCUUGGUAAUCAUUUUCCUUAAACAUGGAAGAAUGCAUGUUGAAAAUACACAAAAUAACAGUAAAAUUCCUACGACUAUUAGACCCUUGUAUAACAAAACAGUCCAUGAGCUACUUAAUAACCAUCUCAGCCAGUCAGUGCCUCCAUCCACAUAUUCCUUUGACUGCACAUUCUGGAGCUGUUUUAAAACUUUUAAAGCAUCUGUCAUGUUACUAGAAUGUAUGUUAUCAGGUAUGUAAGUACAACAGGUGGUGUUAAAAAGUACACAUAAACCUCCCUUUUCUGCUAACACAAUAUCAAGCGCCACCUGAUGUGGCAUAUUGUGUCGUUGUGGGCAUGUAGGAGCAAACAUAGCAAUCUUUCCUGGGUGUGCUGUCAUGUAUAUAUCGAUACCAUGCGUUAUUCAUCCAGGGGUGGAUUUUAUCCUGUGUCAUAGCAUAAUGAUGUGAAUUAUCAUGUGUCCAGGCUCUUUUCUUGCGAGGUCCAUUUUUCUUCUUGAGCAGUAUUAGACAUCCUGCAACCAGGGCUGCCAAUGUCAAUGAGAUCAAAAGCAGCUUCAUGAUGACCUGAUACACCUAGCUCCUCUGGUAAGUAGACCACAAGCAAGAAGUAAAGGGCGGGGUGUACCCAAUCGGCCCUUCCUCCACUUUAUGGAUCACCAGAAGGUAGGGGAAUCGGCGUCUGUUAGUCUAUGCUCUCACUCACUUUCUUGCAGUGACUUUGAUGUAUCCAGGAUGGUCGCUCCGCGAUCUUACAUGCUGUGGGAGUGGUUAGAAGCACUUGGUAUGGUCCUUCCCAACGGGGUGAACUCCAGUUUUUCCUCUGGAGCACCUUGAUUAGGAUCCAAUCACCUGGUUUCAACCUGCAAGACACUGGUGAAAAGUCCUCUGGCAGUUUAUUAUUCAGAACGAUUUCUUUGUUUUCUAGCAGUUUAGCCAUCCAUUCUGCUAAUGUGGUUUCUCUAGAAGAUUUAGUUAAAGGUUCACUCGUUAUAGGUAGUGGAAAUGGUCUACCAUGGAUGAUCUCAAAUGGUGUGAGCUUCUGAGAUCCUUGUGUUAAUCUCAUCCACAUUUUUACCAGGCCUACACAUUCAGGCCACGGUCUUCCUGUUUCUUCCAUAUACUUCCUAAGUCUCUGCUUGAUUGUGCCAUUUGUUCUUUCUACUAAUCCUGC